AGUGAACGCUGGCGGUAGGCCUAACACAUGCAAGUCGAACGGCAGCACAGUAAGAGCUUGCUCUUACGGGUGGCGAGUGGCGGACGGGUGAGGAAUACAUCGGAAUCUACUUUUUCGUGGGGGAUAACGUAGGGAAACUUACGCUAAUACCGCAUACGACCUACGGGUGAAAGCAGGGGAUCUUCGGACCUUGCGCGAUUGAAUGAGCCGAUGACGGAUUAGCUAGUUGGCGGGGUAAAGGCCCACCAAGGCGACGAUCCGUAGCUGGUCCGAGAGGAUGAUCAGCCACACUGGAACUGAGACACGGUCCAGACUCCUACGGGAGGCAGCAGUGGGGAAUAUUGGACAGUGGGCGCAAGCCUGAUCCAGCCAUACCGCGUGGGUGAAGAAGGCCUUCGGGUUGUAAAGCCCUUUUGUUGGGAAAGAAAAGCAGCAGGUUAAUACCCCGCUGUUCUGACGGUACCCAAAGAAUAAGCACCGGCUAACUUCGUG
rnacentral:rRNA from 1 species